UACGUAGGGGGCAAGCGUUGUCCGGAUUUAUUGGGCGUAAAGAGCGUGUAGGCGGCCAGAUAAGUCCGCUGUGAAAUCUCGAGGCUCAACUUCGAGCUGUCGGUGGAAACUGUCUGGCUAGAGUCCGGAAGAGGAGAAUGGAAUUCCUGGUGUAGCGGUGAAAUGCGCAGAUAUCAGGAAGAACACCGGUGGCGAAGGCGGGUCUCUGGGCCGGUACUGACGCUGAGGAGCGAAAGCGUGGGGAGCGAACAGG
rnacentral:rRNA from 1 species